GAUGAAGAACGCAGCGAAAUGCGAUAAGUAAUGUGAAUUGCAGAAUUCAGUGAAUCAUCGAAUCUUUGAACGCACAUUGCGCCCCUUGGUAUUCCGGCGGGCAUGCCUGUUCGAGCGUCAUUUCAACCCUCAAGCCCCCGGGUUUGGUGUUGGGGAUCGGCUCUGCCUUCUGGCGGUGCCGCCCCCGAAAUACAUUGGCGGUCUCGCUGCAGCCUCCAUUGCGUAGUAGCUAACACCUCGCAACUGGAACGCGGCGCGGCCAUGCCGUAAAACCCCAACUUCUGAAUGUUGACCUCGGAUCAGGUAGGAAUACCCGCUGAACUUAAGCAUAUCAAUAAGCGGAGG
rnacentral:misc_RNA from 1 species